GGGGGCGAUCGGUAUCGACGAUAUAUGAACUAUGUCUAACUGCAAGCGGAGGAUAACAGUACCCUCCUUAAUCAUCUGUUACAACUAUAAAUGCCGAUUACGGCUAUAUGGCUGCAGCUUAAGUCUAGCAGCUCGUUCCAGUGCAGAUUCGUCUAUGAUCUGAGCUAGGAGCGUCACUAACAUAGACUAGCCUUGAAUAUGCUUUCGAGUUUGAGGUGAAAUACAAGGAAGCUAGUUUGAUUUUGUUUUUGUUCUUGGUACAUAAUCAAAUUAAAAAAUAACCAAGAAACUAAGCUUGUAGAUGUUUUUCAUCAUUCUAUGUCGGACGGGAGUUCGAUUCUCCCCGCCUCCACAU
rnacentral:tmRNA from 1 species